AUACGGAGGGUGCGAGCGUUGUUCGGAAUUAUUGGGCGUAAAGAGCAUGUAGGCGGUCUGUUAAGUCUGGUGUGAAAGCCCGGGGCUCAACCCCGGAAGUGCAUUGGAUACUGGCAGACUUGAGUAUGGGAGAGGAAAGCGGAAUUCCGAGUGUAGGAGUGAAAUCCGUAGAUAUUCGGAGGAACACCAGUGGCGAAGGCGGCUUUCUGGACCAAUUCUGACGCUGAGAUGCGAAAGCGUGGGGAGCGAACAGGAUUAGAAACCCUAGUAGUCC
rnacentral:rRNA from 1 species